rnacentral:rRNA from 1 species
AGUGAACGCUGGCGGUAGGCCUAACACAUGCAAGUCGAACGGCAGCACCGUCAUUGCUUGCUCGUACGGGUGGCGAGUGGUGGACGAGUGAGGAAUAAAUCGGAAUUUAUUUUUUCGUGGGGGAGAAAGAAGGGUAACUUACGCUAUUACCGCAUCCGUACUACGGGUGAAAGCAGGGGAUGUUCGGACCUUGCGCGCUUGUAUGAGCCGAUGUGGGAUUAGCUAGUUGGCGGGGUAAAGGCGAACCAAGGCGACGAUCCGAAGCUGGGCUGCGAGGAUGGGCGGCACGACGGGAAUGGAGACACGUUCCAGACACUAAGGGGAGGCAGCAGGGGGGAUAUUGGACAAUGGGCGCAAGCCUGAUCCAGCCGUACCGCGUGGGUGAAGAAGGCGUUCGGGUUGUAAAGCCCUUUUGUUGGGGAAGAAAAGCAGCAGGUUAAUACCCCGCUGUUCUGACGGCACCCAAAGAAUAAGCACCGGCUAACUUCGUG